GAGAAGUAUUGUUGAUAAUAAUGAAUGUUGGCCUACAUCAGAAAUAAGAUGUUUCAAAUUAAAAACAAAUCUUUUUCAAACAGUAAGAAUGUUAUUUAUUCAAGUAUUCAGAUGCAAUGAUUAAAAGACAUUUAAGUAAUUAAAAUAGAUUUUUUUUAAACUAAACUUUUAGAAAGCCUGUUUUAGGGGAACUAUGUGAAUGUGAUUGGUGGCAGGUUUUAGAAAUUGUGACAGUGGAAAGUUUAGUUUUGAGAUGUAAAGAUCACAAGAAAUAGGAAAUUUUGAAUAAACUAUCACUAACAGCAGAAAGAAGAAAAAUGAAUUAAUUUUUACCUUUGGUUGUCAUUUAAGAUCAUUUAAAAAUUAGCAUUAGGUGGUUUUUUUUUUCUGAUUUAUAUACUUAUUUAUAAGCACCAUAAUGGACUAACAGAAUCUUUUUUUAUAGAAAAGUAGUCUUUAAAAAUUACAUUAUUUGUGUAUGCUUUUAGUUCUUACAAGCAUGUUUAAUUGCAGAGGUGAAUUUUUCUAAUAUAUGACUUAAAACAAUGACAUUUAUUCAUAAAAAUAAAGGUAAAAUAAUAGUCUAUAAUGUAUAUGUCUGUCUCUGAUUUAAAUUAUGAAGUUUCUUAUAAAGACCGUCUGUUUGUGAAGCACCUGCUUUGCAUUAAAAUAUGCAAACAAGUUUUUUAAGAAAGUAUUUAAGGCCAGGUGCAGUGGCUCACAUCUAUAAUCCCCUGACUUUGGGAAGCAGGAGGAUCAUUUGAGUCCAGGAACUCAAGACCAGACUGGGUAACGUAGGGAGUCCCACUCUCUACAAAAAAUUAGCUGGGUGUGGUGACACAUACCUAUAGUCCUAGCUACUUGGAAGGCUGUGUGGGAGGAUCACUUGAACACAGGAAUUAGAGGCUGCAGUGCAGCCAUGAUUGCACCACUGUACUCCAGCCUGGGUGACAGAGCAAGACUUUGUCUAAAAAAAGGUAUUUAAGACUUCUAGGAAGAGUCUAGCUAAUUAAGUAAUUCAAAUUAGUAACUUCAAGAGUUAUAGAUCACAGGUAUUCUCAAAUAAAGCAUAUGAAUUAGCAUGAUGAGUUUAGAGUCUUGCAAAAACAAAAAAGACCUGGCAAAUAAAUGAAUGAAAACUGCUGCUAAUUUGUUCACCAUGCCUUUUGCCUGAGAAAUACAAACUGUUGCCACUUUAUGGCCUUACUCAUCAUUUCAAAUUUUUUGUUUUCCUGAAUGUUUACUGCUAAUAUGGAAUUUCAAAACUGUCAGGUUGAAAGAUUCAUAGAAGAGUCUUUGAAAUACAUUUUGUAGGGCCAGCUUUAGCUCAGCAGUUACUUCGACAAUGCUUUCCUUGGUGGAGAAAUACAUUUUGUGAAAUCAAAUGUUGGUAUGUGAUGAGUGGUUAGAUGCUUAUUUUAAUAGUUUUAAAAGUAAUCGAGUAUUUACUAAGUGCUAGGCAUGAGCCUAGGUGUUAUCAAUACCUGUUGGUGUUUGGGAACUACAUGGUUACAUGGUCCUUCCCCUCAUGAAACUUAUGCUCAAGUGGGAGG